UCAAGAUGUGGCCUGCACCAGUGCUUCUGCUCGUCCAGUCGGCUCUGCUGAUUCAAGGAUCUUCCGCCCAGGAUUCUCAGAUCCAGACGGACAAAAUCAAGGAUGUCAGUCUUGGUGGGACGGUGACCAUCAGCGCCAAAGGGAACUCAAACACUGGUUCUUAUUUCAGUUGGUACCAAGUGAAACCUGGACAGGUUCCUAAACUUCUGAUCUAUGCUGCAUCAAGUCGCUUUACUGGAACACCACCUCGAUUCAGUGGCACACGAUCUGGCUCUGACUACACUCUGACUAUCAGUGGUGUUCAGGCAGAAGAUGUCGCUGAUUACUACGGUUUGGACUAUGUUGGAGAUGGAAGGGAAGUGAAAGUGGAAGAUGAUGAUGACUGGUCCACUGAACAAAGAUCACCAAGCAGAACCAGCGUCAAUCUGAACAAGUUGAUUGACUUGAAAGAAAAAGUUGAAAUGAGGAAAGAAGAAGUCACACUAACACUCAGGGCCGGCCCGUCCCGUAAACAUUCUAUACCAGGGGUCUUUAAACAUUUCCAGGCCAAAGACAAUAAAGAUGGCGUGAGGACGGCCUAG